GAUGAAGAACGCAGCAAAAUGCGAUAAGUAGUGUGAGUUGCAGAAUUCAGUGAAUCAUCGAAUCUUUGAACGCACAUUGCGCCCCUUGGUAUCCCGAGGGGCAUGCCUGUUCGAGCGUCAUUUCACCACUCAAGCCUGGCUUGGUGUUGGGCGACGUCCCCUUUAGGGACGCGCCUCGAAACGCUCGGCGGCGCGGCACCGGCUUUAAGCGUAGCAGAAUCUUUCGCUUUGGAAGUCGGGGCCCCGCCUGCCGGAAUACCUACUUGUAAGGUUGACCUCGGAUCAGGCAGGGAUACCCGCUGAACUUAAGCAUAUCAAUAAGCGGAGGA
rnacentral:misc_RNA from 1 species